AUUGAACGCUGGCGGCAGGCCUAACACAUGCAAGUCGAACGGUAACAGGAAGCAGCUUGCUGCUUCGCUGACGAGUGGCGGACGGGUGAGUAAUGUCUGGGAAACUGCCUGAUGGAGGGGGAUAACUACUGGAAACGGUAGCUAAUACCGCAUAGCGUCGCAAGACCAAAGAGGGGGACCUUAGGGCCUCUUGCCAUCGGAUGUGCCCAGAUGGGAUUAGCUAGUAGGUGGGGUAACGGCUCACCUAGGCGACGAUCCCUAGCUGGUCUGAGAGGAUGACCAGCCACACUGGAACUGAGACACGGUCCAGACUCCUACGGGAGGCAGCAGUGGGGAAUAUUGCACAAUGGGCGCAAGCCUGAUGCAGCCAUGCCGCGUGUAUGAAGAAGGCCUUCGGGUUGUAAAGUACUUUCAGCGGGGAGGAAGGGAGUAAAGUUAAUACCUUUGCUCAUUGACGUUACCCGCAGAAGAAGCACCGGCUAACUCCGUG
rnacentral:rRNA from 1 species